AGAGUUUGAUCAUGGCUCAGAUUGAACGCUGGCGGCAUGCUUAAUACAUGCAAGUCGAACGGUAACAGAUUCUUCGGAAUGCUGACGAGUGGCGGACGGGUGAGUAAUACAUAGGAAUCUGCCCAUGUAGUGGGGGACAACUUGGGGAAACUCAAGCUAAUACCGCAUAAUUCCUACGGGAUAAAGAGGGCCACUGCUUGCAAGCUCUUGCUACUGGAUGAGCCUAUGUCGGAUUAGUUAGUUGGUAAGGUAAUGGCUUACCAAGACAGCGAUCCGUAGCUGGUUUGAGAGGAUGAUCAGCCACACUGGGACUGAGACACGGCCCAGACUCCUACGGGAGGCAGCAGUAGGGAGUAUUGGACAAUGGGCGCAAGCCUGAUCCAGCAAUGCCGCGUGUGUGAAGAAGGCCUGCGGGUUGUAAAGCACUUUCAAUUGGGAAGAAAGAUUAUGAGUUAAUACCUUAUAA
rnacentral:rRNA from 1 species